rnacentral:rRNA from 1 species
UACGAAGGGUGCAAGCGUUGCUCGGAAUCAUUGGGCGUAAAGGGUAGGUAGGUGGUCUCAUUUGUCUGGGGUGAAAUCCUUGAGCUUAACUCAAGAAGUGCCCUAGAAACGGUGAGACUGGAGUCCUGGAGAGGGUCGUGGAAUUCCCGGUGUAGCGGUGAAAUGCGUAGAGAUCGGGAGGAACACCAGAGGCGAAGGCGGCGACCUGGACAGGUACUGACACUCAACUACGAAAGCGUGGGGAGCAAACAGG